rnacentral:rRNA from 1 species
UGGGGAAUAUUGCACAAUGGGCGCAAGCCUGAUGCAGCCAUGCCGCGUGUGUGAAGAAGGCCUUCGGGUUGUAAAGCACUUUCAGCGGGGAGGAAGGCGUUAAGGUUAAUAACCUUGGCGAUUGACGUUACCCGCAGAAGAAGCACCGGCUAACUCCGUGCCAGCAGCCGCGGUAAUACGGAGGGUGCAAGCGUUAAUCGGAAUUACUGGGCGUAAAGCGCACGCAGGCGGUCUGUCAAGUCGGAUGUGAAAUCCCCGGGCUCAACCUGGGAACUGCAUUCUAAACUGGCAGGCUAGAGUCUUGUAGAGGGGGGUAGAAUUCCAGGUGUAGCGGUGAAAUGCGUAGAGAUCUGGAGGAAUACCGGUGGCGUAGGCGGCCCCCUGGACAAAGACUGACGCUCAGGUGCGAAAGCGUGGGGAGCAAACAGG